GCUUCUCAUUAGAUAAAAGUUAAUUCAUUAUAAUUUUCAAAUAAAUUAUUUCAAAAUUGUACUUUUAAGCAUGAAGUUCUCCCAAGCAUUGGCUGUGAGUAAAUUAUACAUUUUCAAAGGCUCAAUAGUAAACUAUUGUGGUUCAGUUUAUUAGUCUGUUAGGGUGGUCUUGUUAGCUAGUUAUGUUUUCCCCUUAAUUCCAUUUUCCACUUUAGGUUUGCUCUUUUUGGACUUUGCAGAUAAGCUGUUUUAGCCUCGAUUGCCGUUGGUUUUCAAACCACCUUCGGAGAAGAAAAAAUGCUCAUCUUUGACAGGUAUGUUAACCAUGAAAAUAAGUGGUUAGCAUUGGACAGAGAUCAAUAUUUGAUUUAUUCAGUACUAGAAGACAACUCCUAAGUUGAAGUUACAUUUGUAUGCUCUGUAUACAGAGAUUAAUAUUUGAUUUAUGCAGUAGUAAUACACGACUCUUAAAUAGAAGUUGCAGUUGUAUACUCUGUAUACCUUUUUUUUUUAUCGUUUUUUGAAGUUUUAACUUUUAGAGAAUUGUUGUGCACUUGUAUGUGAAAUGCAGAGGCAAAUCAGAAAAUGAUAGUUGAAGCUGGUGGUCUUACUUCCUUGUUAAUGCUUCUUAAAAGCUUUGAGGAUGAAACCGUUCGAAGAGUGGCAGCUGGUGCCAUUGCGAAUCUUGCAAUGAAUGGAAUGUGGGAUUAGUUUGUUAGCAACGACAGCCGCUGAAGCUGAUAAUGCUCAAACCCUAUGCAUGGUUGCUAGAGCUAUUUCUAUUUUAUGUGGCAAUGGUAUACUGCAUUGUCUUUUCUUUACUUGUUUUAUUAUUAGAGCCUUUGCCUUUUCUUUUGGUUAUUCAUUUCUUUUCUCUAAUGGUCUUAAAAGAAAAUAUGUAUAACUAUCUGUAGUAAUCGGGCAUAAAUGGCUUCAUUGGCUUAUUAGUGCAUAACAAAAGUCCUUUUAAAAUCUUUGAAGAAGACUCUUCUUUUCUAUUUAGUUCCCGGGUUUGUUAUAUACAAUUCAAACAUUUUUACAUUAGUCCCUGGAAACAUGUCCUUUUUCCAAUUCUAUGCUUCAGAGAAAGGGUUUUAUUUUGUUUGUUCUUCAUUUUGUCUAUGUUUGCUCUGCAUUUUUUUCCCUAAAUUUGAGUAUUUAAAUCCUGCUUUGUUAUUAUUUUGUUAAUAUCCUCAGAUAAGAUACAAAUGAAGCUAAGGUCUGAAGGUGGUUUAAGGCGUUGCUAGGAAUUGUGAGGUGCAGGCAUCUUGAUGUUUUUUCCCAAGUGGCCCGUGGAAUAGCUAACUUUGCAAAAUGUGAAUCGCGAGCAUAUACUCAAGGGAUAAAGAAUGCAAGAUCUUUCUUGAUAGAAGAUGGUGCACUUCCAUGGAUUAUACAAAAUGCUAAUGACGAGGCUGCACCAUUCCGGUGCCACAUUGAGCAUGCACUCUGUCACUUAGCACAACAUGGUGAAUGCGAAGGACAUGAUUAGUGGAGGUGCCCUCUAGGAGCUAGUUAGAAUUUCCCAAGACUGUUCACGAAAGGACAUAAGGAGUCUUACUCAUCGGACUUUGAAUUCAAGCCUGACUUUCCAUGCUGAAAUGUGACAAUUAUGGAUAGACUACUGAUUAGUAAGCAGUGUGAUGGGCUGCUCUGAAUAUAUAUUAUUGCCUCUCCAGUCAAUGAGAGAGACACACACAAAUUCGUGAUGCUUCUGUAUAGGCUUGGUCAAGAAUUGAGUCCAGAAGGCUGAAGCAGUAGCUCGGGAAGCCAAGAUUGCAGCCUAGUUAUCAGCCCAGAACUAUAAGAUGAGUAUGAUCUUACAGGCCUUAAUGAUGUCUAGCCUUCAAAUCCCGAUGCCAGCACCUGAUCUUACUCCACCUUCAGCCUCCCAGCCAUUUCGCCCAGCCGAUACCCAAUAGCCUGAUGCAUCAAGCCUAGAAGACUACUUGUUGUAGUUUUUUCUUUUAUACUUGAACAUCUUGUAUGUACAUUUUCAU